GGCGUUAUAGUGUAGUGGUUAUCACUCGGGAUUUUGAGGCCAGCCCAUUUAGACCUUCCCGAAACCCAGGUUCGAACCCUGGUAACGCCU
rfam:Leucoagaricus sp. SymC.cos contig6755, whole genome shotgun sequence.